rnacentral:rRNA from 1 species
GACGAACCGUGCAAACGUUAUUCGGAAUCACUGGGCUUAAAGGGCGCGUAGGCGGGCCGCCAGGUCCGGGGUGAAAGCCUCCAGCUCAACUGGAGAAGUGCCUUGGAUACCGGCGGCCUCGAGGGAGGCAGGGGCGUGCGGAACUUCGGGUGGAGCGGUGAAAUGCGUAGAUAUCCGAAGGAACACCGGUGGCGAAAGCGGCGCGCUGGACCUCUACUGACGCUGAGGCGCGAAAGCCAGGGUAGCGAACGGG